ACUCAUGACAUUGUCCUUACAGGAGUUUCAAGUGCUAUUUUCUUUGUCCCUGGAUUUCUUCUCUUCAUCCCUGGAGUGUACCAUGUGAUAUACAUCAGCUGCGCUGUCCGAGGAAGAAGAGGCUUCAAAUUGUUCUACCUGCCUUAUUUUGAAAAAUGACAUUUUAUGAGACACUACUUUUCUCUGUUAUCUUAAAAUGAAUUGUAUUUUGUCACUUGUAACAGAUAUGUGUUGUCACAUGUUUCAUGUUGUUUUUUCUUGUCAUUGUUAUGACCACUAAUUUAACCACUCUGUCUGGAGUAUGUUUCCACUAAAUGAACUGACGUUGUUGUACAUGAAAAAGAAGGAGACUGGUCUUGCCUGUGUUUUCUUGUGUGAAUAAUGACUGUGAAAUUACAAUAAAACUUUUGUAUAUUUUAA